AUUGAACGCUGGCGGAAUGCUUUACACAUGCAAGUCGAACGGCAGCACGGACUUCGGUCUGGUGGCGAGUGGCGAACGGGUGAGUAAUAUAUCGGAACGUAUCCAAUAAUGGGGGAUAACUAAUCGAAAGGUUGGCUAAUACCGCAUACGUCCUACGGGAGAAAGCUAGGGACCUUCGGGCCUGGCGUUAAUGGAGCGGCCGAUAUCGGAUUAGCUAGUUGGUGGGGUAAAGGCUCACCAAGGCGACGAUCCGUAGCUGGUCUGAGAGGACGACCAGCCACACUGGAACUGAGACACGGUCCAGACUCCUACGGGAGGCAGCAGUGGGGAAUUUUGGACAAUGGGCGCAAGCCUGAUCCAGCCAUUCCGCGUGAGUGAAGAAGGCCUUCGGGUUGUAAAGCUCUUUCGCAAGGGAAGAAAACUUAUCCUCUAACAUAGGAUGAGGUUGACGGUACCUUGAUAAGAAGCACCGGCUAACUACGUGCCAGCAGCCGCGGUAAUAC
rnacentral:rRNA from 1 species